GGUACCGGGGGGGGGGGUUGGGAGUGUCGGGGGGGAUUGGGGUUACCCAGGGGGAGAUUUAGGGGGACCUGGGGGGCAAUUGGUGUCCCCAGGGUCUCAAUUGAUGUCCCCAGUGUCCCAAUUGGUGUCCCCAGUGUCCCAUUUAGGGGUCCCAAAGUUCCAGUUGGUGUCCCCAGUGUCCCAGCUGGGGGUCCCAGUGUCCAACUGGGGGUCCCAGUGACAGAACUGGGGGUCCCAGUGUCCCAACUGGUGUCCCCAGUGUCCCAGUUGGUGUCCCAGUGUCCCAGUUGGGUGUCCCCCUGUCCCAGUUG